GCGCUAAAGUUAGCAAAGACGAGCGGCAUAAACGGGAACUACUCAAAGCUGUGCGAUUUGACAUUUUGUCAUAGUAUUUGGUAUUCACUAACAAAAGUCAGCCUCGUCUUCGCCGACAGCCUAAUCUACGGCCUCAUAUAUCUUAUGUCAAAAUCAAAAGCUCUGUUUUCUACACUGUUUACAUAGUAUUCCAAUAAUAAAUUUAUUUGUUUCUCGAAUUCUGUGAUAUUUAUUUGCAUUCAAAUUAUCAAUUUGUGUUUAAAAACAAUGGCUGUUCGUUUAUGUGUAAUGAUCCAUUUGUUGAAAGAAAUUAAAGAAGAUAAUUACAAAAAAUUACGACUAACAAGAGACAGUUGCGAAAUGCAAGCACAAUUUUAUAUGACGUGUAUUAUAUUCGUCAUUAGACUGUCUGAAGACCUAUUUAAUAUGUUAGAAUUGAAUUGGCACCAUAUACGCCUGUGUGCCGCCGUUCCGGAGGUUUAUCACUCGGGCUAAAGGUGACUUUAGAACCCUUCUAAUAAUGUAAACCUUUGGACUCUCACAAUAAUAUCAAAAGCCACUGAUUGCUGUCUUAUUUGUGAUAUGCAUAUUCAUCUAUACCAUCUCACAGAUCGAAGAAGCAGGAAAGAAAAUGCAGUAGUCUCACUCAAUUUACACUGUCAGCAGCUUCUUAUAAAUAGAAGAAAUCCCCUUCUGUAUCGAAGUGAAUAUCCAAGUGUUGCCUGCAAUCAUUCAACAGCUUGCAAAGACAGUACAGUGGAGUUGCCACCAAGAACAGUUCUACGGAACGGCACGGACAUUGGGCUGAUGUAACUACGGGGAUAGUGUACAGGUCAAUCGAGAAUGAAAUUUGGCAAGAAGCUGAGAACAAGUUUAUAUUAUGUAGUUUCCAUUUUUAUUGUUACUUUUUUGCCUAAUCAUACAUUAAAUAUUAAUUAUGUAAUAAAAUGUACAUCUAUUUCAUAGUAGAGCAAAUUAAAUUUAAACAAGCAGACAUGCUUUUGCAUUUAUAAUAUUAGUAUGCAGUAUGGAAUAUAUAUAAAUGUCAUUUAUAUAAACUUAUUAUUACUUAGCAGUAUUUCCGAACCGAUACGACAACAUAACCUUCAAGAAAAGAGUAUAUUCCUUUUUAAAAGGCCGGCAGCACACCUGCAAUGCCGCUGGUGUUGUGGGUGAUCAUGGGCGGCGGUAGUCACUUACCAUCAGGUGAGCCGCAUGCUCGUUUGCCCCCUGUGUUGUAAAAAAAAAAAAAAAUUACUUUAUUUACAAGUUUCAAAAUUUUUUUUUAUGGGUGAAAAUGGUAUGGUGUCCCCGCCUGCGCUAACGGGAUACGCUGGCGGAGCACCAGUGAAGGGUGAUAGAUGAGAAUGAAAACAGGCCAGUUAGCCCAUCAUGAUGAAUUCAUCAGGAAUUAACCAUGAUAGUUUCCAGGGAGAACCGCGAGGAGGUCGACCUGGUUGGGUAUAUCACUAGCAAUGGGAUUCUCAGUCUCCAUUACUAACAAUCCCUUUCCCCCCCAGAAGUUUCAUAUUUAUGAUUGUUUCAUUGAAAUUGUGUACUUUUUUAUUGUUAAUAUUACAUGAUAUAUUUAUGUUAUAAUGACUAGUGUAACGUAGCCAUUUCACUAUGUUAAAAAUAAUAAAAGAAGAUAAACAAAAGAAUUACUGAAUCUCUAUCAGAUUGUAAACUCAAUUGUGGAUUGUCCCCAACUUUUAGAAUUAAUUAAUAUUAGUAGGAAUGGCCGAAUUCCUCUUCGACGUACUUUUACUGUGCCUCUUUAUAGAAAUAAUGUUUCUUUAAAUAACCCUAUAGCCAAUAUGCGUAGAUCAUAUAAUGACGCUCAUCAAAAUGACCUUGACAUAUUUGGACUCGAUUAUAAUCAAUUUCGCAGACAAUUGUAUAAAAUAAUGUAAUAUUUAGAAAUUUCUUAUAUAGUUUUGUUUUGUUUUUUUAUUUAACUUUAUUUAUGUUUAUGUUUCUUUUUAUAUAUGUUUAAUUUUUUUCACUAAUAGUUGCAACCGAAUGGUUUCGUUGCAGUCGCAUUUAUUAUUGGAUCGUGCUGUGCGCACAUGUUGUGGCAAGUUUACCUGAUCAAUACAUUAAUGUACUUGCAUGUUAUAAUCUAUGUUUGUAUUUGUAAACUUCUGUUAUGUGCGCCUAAUAAAUAAAAUAAAAUA